UCCCUGAUGGCCUAGUGGUUAGGAUUCAGCACUUUCACCGCUGCAGCCUGGGGUCAAUCCCUGGUCUGGGAA
rnacentral:tRNA from 1 species